rnacentral:tRNA from 1 species
UUUUUAGUAGUAUAAACAUUACACUUACCUUCCAAGUAAAAAAUCUUUUUAAAAGCUCCUGUAGUAGGUUAAAAUA